UCGUCCUCUCGUUAAUUGCAGUUAAUUAGAAUAUUUUAUCCAACGUACGCUCUAAUUUUGUAUAUCGAUCGAACGUCGAAAACGCUAUUUCCACGGGUGAAUUUAUUAACAUCGAUCACGCUCAACUACGAAAUAUAUUCUGCUGCGUUCCUUAACCUAACAACCAUACAAGCCAUCGUUAUUUUCGAUUAUACAAUGGAAGAACUACGACGUUUGCAUUUUCGUCAUCAAUUUUACUUAUUUACAAUGAGAAAUGAUGUUGGACACACGACAACGACGACUGAUCGAAACUUUACAAGCACGUGGGGAAGCCAUUGGAAAGAUGACGUAAUAUGUACGUACGACGGUCCACAUCUUUCUUGCUGCCGCUUACUCCGCCAUUCUGAAUUAUUUCGUGGCGUUUGUCGCAAGCCAGCUUCGUCCUCUCGUUGACUGCAGAAUGGGAGAGGUACGACGUCUGGAUUUUCGUCUUCAAUUUUACUUAUUUACAAUGAGAAAUGGUGUUGGACACACGACGACGAGUGAUCGAAACAACAAGCACGUGGGGAAGCCAUUGCAAAGCUGACGUAACGCGCAUGCUCGACGAUACAGCUUCCUUGUUGCCGCUUAAUCCGCCAUUCUGAAUCAGUUCGUGGCACGUGUCCCAACCAAGCUUCGUCCUCUCGUUAAUUGCAGAAUGGAAGAGGUACGAUGUCCGGAUUAUCAAUUUUACUUACGUACAAUAAGAAGUGAUAUUCGAAACAGGACGACGAGUGGGCGUAGAUUCUGUAAAUUUGUUCGUCAGCGUUAACAACACAGUGUGGCCCAUGUUCCUAGAAAGAAGCAAGAUUGAUUUGGCUAGAGUUCAACAAAGUAGACGUCUUCCGUUUAAGUUUAUACAUUCAUUCUUCGAUUAAGCAGUGUUCUUUCAGCGAAACUUCUUUUAGUAAUUUGCCGUCAGAGUAUAUUUUUUGUUCGAUUGUACAUUUUUUGGGAAGUGCGUUUUAUAUACGUGGAAUAGUUGAUAAUUCGGAAUUCAUUCAAAUUGAUUAACGUUGAUGUAACAUUAUUUUUUUAAUUUUACAUUAGUGGAUUUUACAUGGAUUCUUUCAACCUUUAUCGUCGUCAUGUGAUUAAUAAUCGACAUCAUCAGGAUAGGGAGGAGUUGUGCACGGUCGUCACCGCGCAGUUGAAUCUUUCUAGACGCAACCCACUUUUUAUCGAGCACUUGUUUAUGGUCGAGAUUUGUCUCGUACCAUUUUCUGUGCAUUUACGCUGGUUGCUCUGCCUUCGUCCAGCAUUAUAAAAUAACCGAGGACAUUCUACUCUCCUCCUUAUUUUUUAGACCUGCUUCAGAUGUCGUUAAUUGAUCUCACGUCGAGGACGAUCGAUGGGAAAAUCUAUGUACGCGAACGCGCAUAAUCUAAAUUAUUUUAACGAGUUGUCGUCCGUCUUGGAAUAUCACUGCGAAAUAAAAAUUGUAGACUUUUCGUUGAUAGUACAUGACAGAACGAAUACUGCUUAAAUCACGGAGUGGAUGUAUCAUUCGACGGAUCGUUUUCUGAUUGCUGUAAUGCGGUUGACAGUUCUUUAGCCAUCGAAAUGUUACAAGCACGUGGGGAAGCCAUUGCAAAGGUGACGUAAUGCGCAAGCGCAGCGGUCCACAGCCUCCUUGCUGCCUCAGAAUCCACCAUUUUGAAUAAUGAUUGGCACGUGUUAUGACCAAGCUUUUUUCUUGCAGGGCGUAGAUUCUGUAAAUUUGUUCGUCAGCGUUAACAACACAGUGUGGCCCAUGUUCCUAGAAAGAAGCAAGAUUGAUUUGGCUAGAGUUCAACAAAGUAGACGUCUUCCGUUUAAGUUUAUACAUUCAUUCUUCGAUUAAGCAGUGUUCUUUCAGCGAAACUUCUUUUAGUAAUUUGCCGUCAGAGUAUAUUUUUUGUUCGAUUGUACAUUUUUUGGGAAGUGCGUUUUAUAUACGUGGAAUAGUUGAUAAUUCGGAAUUCAUUCAAAUUGAUUAACGUUGAUGUAACAUUAUUUCUUUAAUUUUACAUUAGUGGAUUUUAUAUGGAUUCUUUCAGCCUUCAUCGUCGUCAUGUGAUUAAUAAUCGACAUCAUCAGGAUAGGGAGGAGUUGUGCACGGUCGUCACCGCGCAGUUGAAUCUUUCUAGACGCAACCCACUUUUUAUCGAGCACUUGUUUAUGGUCGAGAUUUGUCUCGUACCAUUUUCUGUGCAUUUACGCUGGUUGCUCUGCCUUCGUCCAGCAUUAUAAAAUAACCGAGGACAUUCUACUCUCCUCCUUAUUUUUUAGACCUGCUUCAGAUGUCGUUAAUUGAUCUCACGUCGAGGACGAUCGAUGGGAAAAUCUAUGUACGCGAACGCGCUUAAUCUACAUUAUUUUAACGAGUCGUCGUCCGUCUUGGAAUAUCACUGCGAAAUAAAAAUUGUAGACUUUUCGUUGAUAGUACAUGACAGAACGAAUACUGCUUAAAUCAUGGAGUGGAUGUAUCAUUCGACGGAUCGUUUGCUGAUUGCUGUAAUGCGGUUGACAGUUCUUUAGCCCAUGUGGGGAAGCCAUUGCAAAGGUGACGUAAUGCGCAAGCGCGGCGGUCCACAGCCCCCUUACUGCCUCAGAAUCCUCGUUGAUUGCAGAAUGGAAGAGGUAGGACGUCCAGAUUUUCGUCAUCAAUUUUACUUAUUUACAAUAAUAAAUGGUGUUCGACACACAACAACGACUGGAUGUAGACGUGAUUUCUUUCGUUAUUGUUGACAUUACAUCGUGGCUAGUUUUCUUAAAAAUAAGCAAGAUGAAUUUAGUUACAUUCGAACAGAAUUGACAUCUUGACAGUACGAACGCUACUUAAAUCGUGGAAGGAAGCGUUCCUUGAUCUAACAACCAGCUAAGGAAUCAUUAUUUUCGAUGAUAGAAAGAAAGAAGUAUGAAGUUCAAAAUUUUCGUCAUCAGUUUUACUUAUCUAUGAUAAGCAAUGGUAUUGGACACAGGACGACAACUGAUAAGCAAUAGUUGACAUAUAUUAUUAUUUAUUUUCACGUUACCCUUUACGAUAACGUUUAGCUAAUUCUACAUUUAUUUUUUCAGGGUAUAGGCAUUGCGAUUUCGUCCGUUAUUGUUAACAAUGCAUCGUGGUCCGUGUUCCUUGAAAUAAGCAUGGUGAAUUUAGUUACAGUCGAACAGAAUUGACAUCUGUUUACACAUUCAUUCUUCGAUUAAACAGUGUUCUGUUAACGAUACUUUUACAUCGGAGUAUAUUUUUCUUCCGAUUGCAUUUUUCAUUUAAUAUACAUCGAGUAGCUGAUAAUUCAAAGUUUAUUCAAGUUGGAUAACGUUAUCGUAACUUCAUUCAUUUAAUCGAUGAAAAAAUCUAUGUAAGCGAACGCGUCUUAAAUAACACUAUUUCAACGAAUCAUAUGGUCUCUCUUGAAAUAUCGCUGCGAAAUAGAAACGAUAGGCUUUUCGUCGAUAGUAUACGACAGAACGAACACUGCUUAAAUCGAAAUAUAUGUGUUAAUUGGGUCGUGGAUUCCCGGAUAGCAGUUCCUAAGUAUCACGCUCGUUAGAGCAAGAUGGUUCUUUAUUCUCUUGUCUGAUGAGGAAUACUUAACAUUUUGAUAUUUUUAUUAUAACACUAUUUUUAUUAACUUUGUUAAUUUUUUUUUUUUUUUCUUUUAGGAAGCCUAUGUUGUAAUUUCGUUCUACUGUUUGGAUACGGAUAAAAGAACAAUUCAACGCUCUAGUUGGAAAUGGUCUUUGUAAAAUUGCGACUCACGGAAAGCCUCCUUCCUCUAGGAUCUAUCAUGAAUAUGAAGAUGAGAAAGGAAAGGAAAGGAGCCAGGAAGAUGCGAUGGAAGCAAUAACGAAGGAUGGAAUCUUGAAGAAUCUUCCAUUGGAUUAAAAUCAGCAGGAAAACAACGCUUCCUUCAUUUUACCGAACCGAAAGAAGACUCGCCUCUCCUUCGUGCGUAUAGCUUCUUUAAAUCUGUUUAAGCUCCAACGUUCUACGUAAUUCUCGGCGAUUUUGCGCACCCCUAAGCGUUUCUGCGAUACCCUGAGCGUUUCUGCGAUACCCUGAGCGUUUCUGCGUGACACCCUGAGCGUUUCUGCGAUACCCUGAGCGUUUCUGCGACACCCUGAGCGUUUCUGCGACACCCUGAGCGUUUCUGCGACACCCUGAGCGUUUCUGCGACACCCUGAGCGUUUCUGCGACACCCUGAGCGUUUCUGCGACACCCUGAGCGUUUCUGCGACACCCCUGAGCGUUUCUGCGACACCCCUGAGCGUUUCUGCGACACCCCUGAGCGUUUCUGCGACACCCCUGAGCGUUUCUGCGACACCCCUGAGCGUUUCUGCGACACCCCUGAGCGUUUCUGCGACACCCCUGAGCGUUUCUGCGACACCCCUGAGCGUUUCUGCGACACCCCUGAGCGAUCUUGCAUGAUACCCUAAGCGUUUCUGCGAUACUACCUUGAGCGUACCUUGGAUACCCUAAGCGAUCUUGCAUGAUACCCUGAGCGUUUCUGCGACACCCUCAGCGUACCUGCGCAAUCCCUAACGUCGUAUUCUGUUUAAUUCUCAGCGUUUUGCGUAACCACCAGCAUUUCAAACGAUUCCCCUGCUUUAGUCUUGCGCAUAAUUGCGAUGUUUUACGAAAAAUUACAAGAUAGAAACAAAUUUGUUAGAAUCAUUGUUAUAAUAUUGUUGGAGUUUAUAGAGCGUUGAAAAAAAGAAACUUCAAUUGGAAGGUAGUACAUCAGUUGAUUUUUUCUUUCCGGAAUGUUAACAUAAAAUUGUUUUAUACUUCACAAGAUAUUACGUGCGGUGCAACGUUUAAGCGGUUGUAUUAUUGUUUAAAUCUUAUUUUAUAUCGACCAAUCGUAUAUUAUAGAUUCUUUAAAUAAUUGUAAAGUGAUAGAAAGCAUACAUAAACUUGGGUGCGUUAAGAAAACUAUUAUUGAAGUAUAAUUUUAUAUCGAACAAACGUAUAUUGUAAACCGUUUAAAUAAUUGUAUAGUGAUAAGAAGCGUAUAUAAACAAUGGUGCGUUGAGAAAAAUAUUUAAAUAUAAUUUUAACUCGAGUAAACGUAUAGUAUAGAAUGUUCAAAUAAUUAGUUAAACUAAUAGAAAGUAUACAUAAAUUCUGAUGCGUUGAGAGAAUUAUCGUUUAAUUAUAAUUUUAUACCGAACAAACGUAUAUUGUAAAAUUGUUUAAAUAAUUGUAAAGUGAUAGAAAGCAUACAUAAAUUUGAUGCGUUAAGAGAAUUUUAGACCACCGUUGGGCGUAUCGAAAACCGUCGUCCAGUAUUUAUCCGUAACAAGAAACAUCUUUUUAGACAAUUCUUAGGAUAUCGCGUGACCCCAGCUUCGCGAAUAAUUGAAAUGCUCAUAUACUAAAAAAGAAAAAAUAUUUUUAUCAUUGUAGUAAGAAAGCGUCGAAAAAAAAAAAGUUUAAAUAGAAGGCAGUAUGUAAGCAGAUUUCUGUUCUGCGAAACGUUCGAUUAAAAUUAUUUUCUACGUACUACGAGCGGUAUAAAGCCUGAGCGGCGGGGUUGUAUUCUGUAAAUAUUAGUUUGAUACUACCGAGCGUACAUAUGUAGCGUACAUUGCUUAAAUGAUUGUAAAACGACAAAAAAUAAAAAUGAUCUAGGUUUAGCGCGGUUCAACGCGGUCCAACGCGUGUACCGGAAAUUUUAGGGCAUUGUAGAGCGUUUCAACUACCGUGAAUCCAUUCGUGCGUAAUUAAGCGUGUUGCGUAAUUCCGAACAGAUUGGCGUAACCCUUAGAAAUAUUGCGUAAACCCCUAACCCUUAUUUUGGUAAAUUCUCUGGCUCUGCCAGACGCAACCCAGCAAUUUCGCCCACUACGUGGUUUGGCGUAAGUAUCCAUUUGUCAAAGUAUGGGUUUUUUUUUACACGUAAGUUCUGUCGAUUUUUCGCAACGUCCAACGUGGACACCCAGAAUGUUGUCUUUCUCAGGUUAUCUGCAACCUCGAAGUUAUUUAUUUACCUACAUACUAUCGAGAUAACUGAAACGAUGGUACUUUUUGCAUAAUGUUAAGGGCAUUCCGUCGUUUUGAACGAAUGCGCGUAACCAGCAGUUUUUUUUUGUAUGAAGCCCACCGUAUCUAUAUAAUCCUUACAGAUUUUGUGUAAACCUUGGCGUGUAUUCAGCCGAACUUUUGUGGUCUAACUUCGGUGUAAUCCAGACGCGACCCAACGAUUUGCAGUAAGUAUUUUUUUCACUUAAUGCCUUUAUUUUCGUUCCGUAAUUCUACGCGUGUUGCGUAAAUUGCAUAGUAUCUGCACCCCGCGGCUCAUUUUCCUAGAUACCAGCGAAGUUAUUUAAACUGCGGCAUUUUUUUUUUCAUAGUUCGGGAUAUUUUCGUUUUAUCCGAAGAAUCCGCGUUUUUAUAUAGCCUAACGUUUCUGUGUAAACCGUGGCGUGUAUUUAGCUUCAUUUUAGCGUGUCUACUUAACUCUAACGUUUCCACAUUAUCACUGAGUUAUCGACCGUAUUUUUUUUUUACGUGAUCUCUUCGUCGCGUAAUUCUUCGCGUAUAUUGUAAUUUGGAGGGUAUUUAGAACCCUAGCUUAUUUUCCAUGAUAUUAGAUGGGUUACUUACCCGACAGAAUAUUUGCAUAGUCCCAGGGGUACUCCUUCCGAUGAAUCGUUGCAAUGUCUAACUUUUUUUUUUUUACAACGCCAAGCGAUUUUGCGAAACGUUUGCACGAUGUGAAAGCCCUAGUGUAACGUAGCGUAACGUAUUUUUACAUAACGAUCCCGAGAUUUGUCGAAAGUACUUCUUUUUUCAUAAUGCUUGUUGGAGGUUUUUCUUUUUGACAUUCUUAACAGUUUCGUUAUUCGUAGAAUACUCUAAGUAGCUUAUUUUCGUAGAUACUAGCUAGGUUACUGAAACGACAGCAUUUUUCUUUUUUUUUCUUUUUUAUAAUUCGUGGGGGACUCGUUAGAUCCGACGAAUCUGCGUAAAUACUAGGGUUUUACUCGUAGAUGACCGUGUACUUUCAUGUGUAUCUGCAACUAUCAGCUUAUUAAUCGAAGAUAUUACCGAGGUUAUAUGAUCGACUGCAUUUAUUUUGCAUAAUCUGUGGGGCACUCGCGUUAUUUCCGAAGAAUCUGCGUAAAUACUAGGGUUUUCAGGGAAUGCGGCGUUUCUGUGUAAUCCUUGUAGAUUUGGCGUCGGUAAUAGGGCGUAUUUAGGUAGCCUCCGAGAAUGCGGCGUAAUCCGAUUGUUUUCGCGUUACCACCCUGUGAUUUCGCGUAAGUACUUUCAUUUGUACGUAAUACUUGUGUAAAUUCCUGUCGGUUUUCGAUAACUCGUAGAUGACCGUGUAGUUCCCGUGUAUUUACAACUGUCGGCUUAUUAAUCGAAGAUAUUACCGAGGUUAUAUGAUCGACUGCAUUUUUUUUUUUGCAUAAUCUGUGGGGCACUCCCGUUAUUUCCGACGAAUCUGCGUAAAUACUAGGGUUUUCAGGAAAUGCAGCGUUUCUGUGUAAUCCUUGUAGAUUUGGCGUCGGUAAUAGGGCGUAUUUAGGUAGCCUCCGAGAAUGCAGCGUAAUCCGAUUGUUUCCGCAUUACCACCCUGUGAUUUCGCGUAAGUACUUUCAUUUGUACGUAAUACUUGUGUAAAUUCCUGUCGGUUUUCGAUAACUCGUAGAUGACCGUGUAGUUCCCGUGUAUUUACAACUGUCGGCUUAUUAAUCGAAGAUAUUACCGAGGUUAUAUGAUCGACUGCAUUUUUUUUUUUUGCAUAAUCUGAGGGGCACUCGCGUUAUUUCCGACGAAUCUGCGUAAAUAUUAGGGUUUUCAGGAAAUGCAGCGUUUCUGUGUAAUCCUUGUAGAUUUGGCGUCGGUAAUAGGGCGUAUUUAGGUGGCCUCCGAGAAUGCGGCGUAAUCCAAUUGUUUCCGCAUUACCACCCUGUGAUUUCGCGUAAGUACUUGCCUUUGUACGUAAUACUUGUGUAAAUUCCUGUCGGUUUUCGAUAACUCGUAGAUGACCGUGUAGUUCCCGUGUAUUUACAACUGUCGGCUUAUUAAUCGAAGAUAUUACCGAGGUUAUUUUAUCGACUGCAUUUUUUUUUUGCAUAAUCCGCGGGGCACUCGUUAUAUCCGACGAAUUUGCGUAACUACUAGCAUUUUCAUAAAGUCGGGCAUUUCUGCGUAACCUACAGAUUUUACAAAAAUCUAAGUACGCAAUCUACAGCGUGGGACAUAACCCCACUGUCUUCGCUUUACCAUCAGGUGAUUAGAAGUAUUUGUCCGUUUUCUUUUUAGGUAAUCCCUCCUUUUUUCAAUAAUUCCUAACGUACCGACGUAGUUCCUAGGUUUAUCAGCAAUACCCUGGUUAUUUUCUUAGAUACUAGCGAGGUUACUUAAACGACAUUUUUGUCCUCCGAGCUUUCUCCGUAAUCUUAUUUUUUUCCGCAUAACCAUCUCGUGAUUUCGCUCAAGUAUAUUGUUUUUCCGUAAUGGAUGUCGAUUUUUCCUAACUCCUAGAUGACCGUGUAAUUUCCAGGAUAUCUGUAACGAUCAGCUUAUUAAUUCUAGAUAUUAACGAGGUUAUUUAGUCGAUAGCAUUUUUGAAUAGUCCCUGAGGCGGUUGCAUUAUUUACGUAGACUAUACGAACUACCAGCAUCUUUAUAAAGCUCAUCGUUUCUGGGUAACCCUUACAGAUUUUGGCUUAUCCGACUGGCGAUUUGAAGUUAUCCGUAGUACCCAUCUUAUUUCCCUAGAUUCUAGAGAGGUUACUUAAACGACAACAUCGUUGCAUAAUCCCAGGGGCAUAUUCGUUAUUUCCUACGAAUCAAGUAACGACCAGCGUCUUCAUAAAGUGCAGCAUUUCUGUAUAUUCUCAUAGAUUUGUCGUCAAUCCCAGAACGUAUUUAGGUGGCCUCCGAGCGUCAGGCGUAACGUCAUAGUGUCUGCAUAAGCGAAUAAAUUUGUUUUUACCUAA